UUUAAAGCAUAACAUAGAAAAAAAAGGUAAAAUAAUGCCAAAAAAAUGAGAAAAAAGCCUAGAAGAGGGGGUUUAAGAUUGAAAAGGAAGUGUUAAGAUGAAUCAGGGCGCAUGGUCCAUUGAUUAAAGCACAUAUGGUUUUGGCCCCUGCAGAGGGGGUGUAUGGCACAUGUGUGGUGCAAAUUGGAAAAUAAAUGGGCCUUGGGAGCAAAGCCCACUAACACUCAAGGGAAAGGAGGGAAGAGAGCUAGCUUCAUCAGAUCAAACUUAAAACAAAUGAAAACGCGCUCAGGUUGAAGAAUGGAUCUCCCCCACACCUGGCUUAAAACACCUCUCCUCCGCCGAGCCGGAGGUUGCCUCCGGCGGCGGCGGAGGGCCAAUCCGAGAAACUUAACACCAUCUAACUCGUAUCUUCAUUCUAAAUCCAAAUAUGAUAUCAAUUCCACCUGAUUCGAAGCUUAAAGCCCUAACUGAUUCGAUCUUGUCCGAGAACCCUAACUACAAGUUGAUAAAUGAAAUCCUCCUCUCAAGGAAUCAAAACCCAAGGCAUUGGGGCUUUGAUUCCCUACCACUCAACUCACAUUUCAGUAUCAAAUUUGAAGCAAGAAGGUGAAAGAUUGAACUUAUGCUGCCGGAGAAGAUGCAAACAACGGCCAAACUCCGGUGAGUUCUUGUUCUGAGCUUCUUCUUUGUUUCUUCUCGUGCUUCUCCUUCUUCUCCGUUUGUUGGUGUUGUGUUUUUUGUUCUGAGAUUCGAGAGUUUGAGUGAAUUGAGAUUGAGAGUUUUGUUCAAUUGGUGAGAGUGAGGUUAUGAUGGUGAUUUAGAAGUUCUGUGAGGAAUUGAAUUAAGAGUGAGGGAGUGAUAAAUGAAUCGAUGAUUGCAAGUGAAAAUGGAAUUUGAGACCUGAAGCUUUGGUUCAAUGAUGAUGAAAAAAAUGGACCAAAAAUAUUAGAGGGUGAUGGUGAAGCUUUAUAGAGGUUAGGAGUUGGUUCUAAUAGAAUUGGGCAGGUGGUUUGGUCAGCUUAGGGGUUGAUGAAAGUUAGUUGGGUCAGUUGUGAGUUAUGUUACAAUAGUUAGUGAGAGCUUUUUGAUUCAGUUAGAUAGUUAGGGUGUUAAUGGUUGCGAUUGUUAGUUUAUGAUGCUACUGAUUUGUGUUAGUUUAUAUUGUGCUACUGUUACAUUGUAUGAUGAUGAAUGAUUCUGAGUUUGUUAGGGUGAAUGAAUGAUAUGCUAUUGCAAUGAUUGGUUGUUAAAUGAUUGUUAUGAUGAACUGGAUGUUAGUGCAAAUGCAGUUAUAAUUUUCUGUUAGACAGUUAAUGUGAAUUGCUAGUAUGAUUGUUAAGCCUGCUGCCAAAUAAUGGUUAUGCUUGUUACAUGGUGAGUUAGCUUUGUUAGAACUGGUUGAGAUUAUGUUAAUCCUGCUGCUAUGCAUUUCCAUGUUGGUAUGUGAAUGAAUUUUCUGUCAAUGGUGAAGUGAGUGAAUGGUGUGGAUUGCUAAUUUGCUUUUGCUGCUAUAUUAUGCUAUGGGCUGCUUCUGAUGCAUGUAUUGUGAAAUGUUAUUAAUGAUGGUUACUGAAUGAAUUGAAUGGUUGCUGUUAGUAUGAAUGGUAUGUAUUGAAUUAUUCUUAUUAUGUGAGCUGCUAGUUGAUGGACUGUUAUGCUAUUAGUAGGUGAGAUGCUAAAUGAAGUUAGUCAUGAAUGAAUUUAUGUUAUGGAUGCCUUGAUGUAUUUCCCUGCUGCUACUGCAAUGUUUUGGCCUGCUAUGAUGAAUGUUAUGUGUUGUUAAUGAAAUUGGUUGGUUUGAAAUGAAUUGGUAUGUGAUCAUGUUAGAUUAAUGCUAGGUUGUGAAAUGAAUGUUGGAUUUUGGUUUUGUUUGGCUUGAAAUAAAAUGACCAUUGUGAAUUGGCUUGUUGGAUUGAUGUGUGCAUUGAAUGCAGGGCUGUUAAUGCAAUGGGAUAUGGCUCAUGUUCUUGGAGUUUGGAAUGAAGGUGCCAUGGAUGAACAUGAAGAAUCAUGAUUACUUGUUAGUGAAGAAAGCUUUGAUCAUGAGAUUAAAAAUGAGAAUGAAAACAUGAAGAACAAAGUGGAAACUAGGCCUUAGGUUUAAGGAUUUGAUGAGUUGACUUGACCAAAAAGUGAACAGUUGACCAAAGUCAAUUAUAGGUAAAAAUCAGUUUUGUUUUGUAAUUCCUUGUAGGGAGAUUUGUAAUGUGAUAUGUAUGAAUGCAAUGAAAGUUUUUGAAUGAGAAAAUCUCUUAUGACUUAAUGAAUCAAGUCUCAUUUAAAAUUUUCAUUUUUCCUCCAAAUUUUUUUGUCUAAACCAUUUUGGAUCAAUGAUUUUGUAUGUAUUAUGAAGCAUGAAUUAAUGGACAAUGAAUGGAAUAUGAUCUUGAAA
rnacentral:lncRNA from 1 species